GACGAACGCUGGCGGCGUGCUUAACACAUGCAAGUCGAACGAAGAGCGAUGGAAGCUUGCUUCUAUCAAUCUUAGUGGCGAACGGGUGAGUAACGCGUAAUCAACCUGCCCUUCAGAGGGGGACAACAGUUGGAAACGACUGCUAAUACCGCAUACGAUCUAAUCUCGGCAUCGAGGAUAGAUGAAAGGUGGCCUCUACAUGUAAGCUAUCACUGAAGGAGGGGAUUGCGUCUGAUUGGCUAGUUGGAGGGGUAACGGCCCACCAAGGCGAUGAUGAGUAGCCGGUCGGAGAGGAUGAACGGCCACAUUGGGACUGAGACACGGCACAGACUCCUACGGGAGGCAGCAGUGGGGAAUCUUCCGCAAUGGACGAAAGUCUGACGGAGCAACGCCGCGGGAGUGAUGACGGCCGUCGGGUUGUAAAGCUCUGUUAAUCGGGACGAAAGGCCUUCUUGCGAAUAGUGAGAAGGAUUGACGGUACCGGAAUAGAAAGCCACGGCUAACUACGUG
rnacentral:rRNA from 1 species